GACGUAGGGUCCAAGCGUUGUCCGGAUUUACUGGGCGUAAAGAGCGCGUAGGCGGCCUGUUAAGUGUGAUGUGAAAUCUCCAGAGCUCAACUCGGAAACUGCAUCGCAUACUGGCAGGCUUGAGGAAUGCAGAGGCAGCUGGAAUUCCUGGUGUAGCGGUGAAAUGCGUUGAUAUCAGGAGGAACACCCAUGGCGAAGGCAGGCUGCUGGGCAUUAUCUGACGCUGAGGCGCGAAAGCGUGGGUAGCAAACAGG
rnacentral:rRNA from 1 species